AGGUUUCCAGAGUAAAGCUGAUCUGCUCUGGGUAAGUCGGGGCCUAAGGCGAGGUCGAAAGACGUAGUCGAUGGAUAACAGGUUGAAAUUCCUGUACUAUCCUGUAACAGAACUGUGGGGACACAGGCAGAGAGCGUGAGCCGGGAAUGGAAAGACCGGUACAAGCGAGGUAGGAGAAGAGUUGGCAAAUCCGCUCUUCAAUCUGAAGACGUGAUGUGGACCGAAAAGAAGUAGGGAAGCACGUGAGCUGACUGUCAAGAAAAGCCGCUAUUGUUUGCAGGAUACCCGUACCGUAAACCGACACAGGUGGAUGAGGAGAGAAUCCUAAGGCCGACGGGAGAAGCAUUGUUAAGGAACUCGGCAAAAUGACUCCGUAACUUCGGGAGAAGGAGUGCCAGUAAGAUGGCCGCAGAGAAUUGGCCCAAGCAACUGUUUAGCAAAAACACAGGUCUAUGCAAAACCGAAAGGUGAGGUAUAUGGGCUGACGCCUGCCCGGUGCUGGAAGGUUAAGAGGAGAGGUUAGCGCAAGCGAAGCUUUGAAUUUAAGCCCCAGUAAACGGCGGCCGUAACUAUAACGGUCCUAAGGUAGCGAAAUUCCUUGUCGGGUAAGUUCCGACCCGCACGAAAGGCGUAAUGAUUUGGGCACUGUCUCAACAAUGCACCCGGUGAAAUUGAAAUACCAGUGAAGAUGCUGGUUACCUGCGCCAGGACGGAAAGACCCCAUGGAGCUUUACUCCAGCUUGAUACUGGGAUUCGGUAUUGCAUGUACAGGAUAGGUGGGAGGCUAGGAAAUGGUAACGCCAGUUGCCAUGGAGCCGAUGUUGGGAUACCACCCUUGCAGUACUGGGUUUCUAACCAGCAGCCGUGAUCCGGCUGGGGGACAAUGUCAGGUGGGGAGUUUGACUGGGGCGGUCGCCUCCGAAAGGGUAUCGGAGGCGCUCAAAGGUUCCCUCAGAAUGGUUGGAAACCAUUCGAAGAGUGCAAAGGCAGAAGGGAGCUUGACUGCGACACCGACGG
rnacentral:rRNA from 1 species